AGCUUGGGUGGCAGAAAAAUGCGGUUGGUUUAGGUCCAAUUUAUGGGUUUGGUUUAGGCCCCCCUGGCUU
rnacentral:tRNA from 1 species